rnacentral:lncRNA from 1 species
GGCGAAUCACCACCGCAAGUGGCAGUGCCAUUGUCAGAGCACGGUGGAGCCGCCGUGCCGGAUUUCUGAAAUUGGCCAAGUAUGCCUUGGGACUGAUUUUUGAGUUAUUUGGGAUAUUUGUAGGUACCAUAAGUGCGUUUCAGUUCCCGAAGAAAAAUUCAUAGAACCCAGGAACCGCCAGUAGAUGCAGUAAACCAUUUAGCUUUUCGACAUCAAAUCAAGUAACGAUUCCCUCGCCCUAUUUCCUAUCAUAAAAUUAAAGUUCAAAUAAGUAAUAAUAUGAU